GAACGCUGGCGGCCAGGCCUAACACCAUGCAAGUCGAACGGUAACAUUUCUAGCUUGCUAGAAGAUGACGAGUGGCGGACGGGUGAGUAAUGCUUGGGAACUUGCCUUUGCGAGGGGGAUAACAGUUGGAAACGACUGCUAAUACCGCAUAAUGUCUUCGGACCAAACGGGGCUUAGGCUCCGGCGCAAAGAGAGGCCCAAGUGAGAUUAGCUAGUUGGUAAGGUAACGGCUUACCAAGGCGACGAUCUCUAGCUGUUCUGAGAGGAAGAUCAGCCACACUGGGACUGAGACACGGCCCAGACUCCUACGGGAGGCAGCAGUGGGGAAUAUUGCACAAUGGGGGAAACCCUGAUGCAGCCAUGCCGCGUGUGUGAAGAAGGCCUUCGGGUUGUAAAGCACUUUCAGUUGUGAGGAAAAGUUAGUAGUUAAUACCUGCUAGCCGUGACGUUAACAACAGAAGAAGCACCGGCUAACUCCGUGCCAGCAGCCGCGGUAAUACGGAGGGUGCGAGCGUUAAUCGGAAUUACUGGGCGUAAAGCGCACGCAGGCGGUUUGUUAAGCUAGAUGUGAAAGCCCCGGGCUCAACCUGGGAUGGUCAUUUAGAACUGGCAGACUAGAGUCUUGGAGAGGGGAGUGGAAUUCCAGGUGUAGCGGUGAAAUGCGUAGAUAUCUGGAGGAACAUCAGUGGCGAAGGCGACUCCCUGGCCAAAGACUGACGCUCAUGUGCG
rnacentral:rRNA from 1 species